rnacentral:rRNA from 1 species
AUACAGAGGGUGCGAGCGUUAAUCGGAAUUACUGGGCGUAAAGCGCGCGUAGGCGGCUUAUUAAGUCAGAUGUGAAAUCCCCGGGCUCAACCUGGGAACUGCAUCUGAUACUGGUAAGCUAGAGUUUUGGAGAGGGAAGUAGAAUUUCAGGUGUAGCGGUGAAAUGCAUAGAGAGCUGAAGGAAUACCAGUGGCGAAGGCGACUUCCUGGCCAAAAACUGACGCUGAGGUGCGAAAGCGUGGGUAGCACACGGGAGUAGAAACCCCAGUAGUCC